rnacentral:rRNA from 1 species
UACAGAGGGGGCAAGCGUUGUUCGGAAUUACUGGGCGUAAAGGGCGCGUAGGCGGCCUGCUAAGUCGAACGUGAAAUCCCUGGGCUUAACCCAGGAACUGCGUCCGAUACUGGCAGGCUUGAAUCCGGGAGAGGGAUGCGGAAUUCCAGGUGUAGCGGUGAAAUGCGUAGAUAUCUGGAGGAACACCGGUGGCGAAGGCGGCAUCCUGGACCGGCAUUGACGCUGAGGCGCGAAAGCCAGGGGAGCAAAGCGGGG